rnacentral:rRNA from 1 species
GAGUUUGAUCAUGGCUCAGGAUGAACGCUGGCGGCGUGCUUAACACAUGCAAGUCGAACGGGCGAAUUAUAUCGGAGGUCUUCGGGCCGAAGAGAUAAUAAGCUAGUGGCGGACGGGUGCGUAACGUGUGGGUAAUCUGCCUUUGUCAUAGGAAUAACUGCUUGAAAAAGUAGCUAAUACCAAAUAACAUAUCGUAUAGGCAUCUAUAAGAUAUCAAAGAGAAAUCGGACAAAGAUGAGCCCGCAUCUGAUUAGCUGGUUGGUAGGGUAAAAGCCUACCAAGGCGACGAUCAGUAGCCGGCCUGAGAGGGUGAACGGCCACAUUGGAACUGAGACACGGUCCAAACUCCUACGGGAGGCAGCAGUGGGGAAUAUUGCACAAUGGGGGGAACCCUGAUGCAGCAACGCCGCGUGAGUGAAGAAGGCUUUCGAGUCGUAAAACUCUGU